rnacentral:rRNA from 1 species
CAAGGAUUCCCCUAGUAACUGCGAGUGAAGCGGGAAAAGCUCAAAUUUAAAAUCUGGCAGUCUUUGAUUGUCCGAGUUGUAAUCUAGAGAAGUGUUAUCCGCGCUGGACCGUGUAAAAGUCUCCUGGAAUGGAGCAUCAUAGAGGGUGAGAAUCCCGUCUUUGACAUGGACUACCAGUGCUUUGUGAUGCGCUCUCAAAGAGUCGAGUUGUUUGGGAAUGCAGCUCAAAAUGGGUGGUAAAUUCCAUCUAAAGCUAAAUAUUGGCGAGAGACCGAUAGCGAACAAGUACCGUGAGGGAAAGAUGAAAAGAACUUUGGAAAGAGAGUUAAACAGUACGUGAAAUUGCUGAAAGGGAAACGCUUGAAGUCAGUCGCGUUGGCCAGGAAUCAACCUUGCUUUUGCUGGGCGUACUUUCUGGUUGACGGGUCAGCAUCAAUUUUGACUGCUGGAGAAAGUUCAAGGGAAUGUGGCAUCUUCGGGUGUGUUAUAGCCCUUGUUCGCAUACAGCAGUUGGGAUUGAGGAACUCAGCACGCCGCAAGGCCGGGUUUCGACCACGUUCGUGCUUAGGAUGCUGGCAUAAUGGCUUUAAUCGACCCGUCUUGAAACACGGACCAAGGAGUCUAACAUGCCUGCGAGUGUUUGGGUGGAAAACUCAAGCGCGCAAUGAAAGUAAAAGUUGAGAUCCCUGUCGUGGGGAGCAUCGACGCCCGGACCAGACCUUUUGUGACGGAUCUGCGGUAGAGCAUGUAUGUUGGGACCCGAAAGAUGGUGAACUAUGCCUGAAUAGGGUGAAGCCAGAGGAAACUCUGGUGGAGGCUCGUAGCGAUUCUGACGUGCAAAUCGAUCGUCAAAUUUGGGUAUAGGGGCGAAAGACUAAUC